UCUUCACCAAGGAGCCCUCUAGCCCACCCAGGGCCAAGAGGCGAGGAAGGGCUGGUCAACAGAGGAGUUCAGUCGGAGCCAGUCUGCAGGAAAGGGCAUCCGGGUUCUCAUUCUUGGCUGCCGGUGACAACUGGACUAGAGCAGGCGUGACUAGGACUGUGAUGGCGCCUAAGCAAGCAUGAGGACACCCUGGUUCCAGCAUGCUCUGCACACCCCUCCCCUCCCCACAGGUAGGAACAUGGUUGAACCUGGCAAGCUGGAAACCUAGCUCUCACUCUCAAUCUGACAUUAACACAACUCAAGAUGGACCAAGUAUACAUUUUUUUGUUAUAGCCUCUUUAUAUAUUCCCCAUUGUAACAAAAUUACUUUUACUUAUUUAUUAUUUAUUAAUUACUCUUAUUAGGUCAUACUGCACAGCUUUCAGAUCUCAGUUCCCCAUCAGGGAUCGAACACAUGUCCCUUGCAGUGGAAGCUUAGGAUCCUACCCACUGGACCACCAGGGAACUCCUGUAAAGUUACUUUAAACUGAGUUAAAAGUACACGGGGCAUUUAGGGAUGAGCCAGGUUAGCACACCAAUGCACCUCAUGAGGCCGUAUGCACCAUCCAGAGACACCAUCCCCAAGACUGAUCUGAACUGUUCAACAUGAACAUGACGCACCACUAAUGUGGUGUCUGAAGUUACCGUCUCUGAGCCACUGUGUCUGAGUCUUGGUCUCCCCUCAAAAGACCUCCGCCUCCACAGGGUUUAAUUUACUUUUCUCUUAGUACACAUCCUAAGCCAGGCUGCAUCUGCAGGCUUCAGGGUCCUGUGUCACUUUCCCAGCUUUGCUGUGAAGACAGAGCCAAGGCCUGCUCUGACCUGAGCCCACUCUGGAAAGAGAGACCCUUCUCCAAGACCUCAAGGAAGAUCCAGCCCUGACUACUCAGUGGUAUGAGGAUGAACGCUGAGACACAGGUCACCGAUCACUGAGCUUCUUGGAGGAUCUUCCCUCUGCUGUGGGCAGACUGCCUGCCAGCCUCCAACCUCAGGGCUGCAGCCUCAGGUAAAAAACGCAGAUAUGUUCAGGGGACUGAGACCCUCCAGCAGGCUGCAACACAGAUCACUGGUGAGGGGGCAGUCCAGUGGUUAAGAUUUCACCUUCUAAUGCAGGGGUGCAGGUUCGAUCCCUGGUCAGGGAGCUGAUCCCACAUGCCUUAUGGCCAAAAGACCAAAGCAUAAAGCAGAAGCAAUAUUGUAACAAAUUCAAUAAAGGCUUUAAAAAUGGUCCACAUCAAAAAAAGAAAAAAAAUCUUAAAAAAAGAUGACUAGUGGGAACCGCUGUCUCUACUUCUAGAUCCAUAGGUGGCAUUAAACCUGCUCUUGUGUGCAAGGGUCAAUGAGAGUGAUAGAGCAUGGGCACAGUGGUUCCCAGCUCUUAUCCACCCAAACUGAGAAAGGCUAAUUCCCAAGUCAUGUUGACCCAAUCAGUUCUCACAGCCACCUUGCUCCAGUUCUGAAAGAAAGUCAUCUGUCCCCUACCCGGCAUUCCCAGCCCAGCCUGGCACUCCGCAGGCAAACAUUCCGAGAGGACCUGCAAUGAGGACCCCAUUCUAUGACUGAAGCAAACGGGACACAGAAAGAUGGGGUGACCACCAAGAUCAUGGCACACUUGCUGUGGGAGAAAUUCCAGCUCUUCUUGGGGAGAAAGUCCUCCAAGAUUCUGUGGGUGGUGUUAAGAAUUCCCCAGGAUGGACAGAAGGAAUAAGG